UACGGAGGAUGCAAGCGUUAUCCGGAAUGAUUGGGCGUAAAGCGUCCGCAGGUGGCUAUGUAAGUCUGCUGUUAAAAGAGUCUAGCUCAACUAGAUAAGAGCAGUGGAAACUACAUGGCUAGAGUGCGUUCGGGGCAGAGGGAAUUCCUGGUGUAGCGGUGAAAUGCGUAGAUAUUGGGAGGAACACCAGUGGCGAAGGCGGCUACCUGGACCGGUACUGACGCUGAGGCGCGAAAAGCGUGGGGGAGCGAACAGGG
rnacentral:rRNA from 1 species